CUGGACUACUUGGGCGACCAGGAGAGAAAGGAAAACAGGGAGAGAAGGGCGAACCGGGAGCCAUCUUUGCCUCGACAGACUCCCUGACCGAACUGAUCCGGAGGCCUGGAGAGAAGGGUGAGCCUGGAGACGGGGGACCCCCCGGGCCAAUGGGACCAAUGGGGCCUCCAGGACACAAAGGAGAACUUGGUUUUCCCGGCCGGCCUGUACG